rnacentral:lncRNA from 1 species
GCUGCGCACUUCGGUCUUUUACGUCGGCCUUCGCGAGCGUCUGGGCGGGUGGUAGGUGAGUGGGUAUUGCGGGCUAGUAUCCGAGCAAAAGAUGGUGGCGCAGGCCGAGUUAAGAGCUUUAAUCCUGUGAAGACAUCUUAGUGAAGAGUUUAGAGUGCUGAGAGUUGAAAGCUUGCACGUGGGAAACGUGCGGCCGGACUGCCACAUGUACUGAGGUUGAGUCGUGACGGCCACAGGCUCCGAGUUUUGGCGUGAGGAACCGCUGAUCGGCCACGGGCGCCGAACUUGCUGGCCUCCGGCAUGUGCCUGAGCGGCGGCGGAAAAACCACCUUAAUUGGGGCGGAGGGUUAGUUUUAACAGCAAAGGGCCUUUACUAAAAUGGCGAAGGCCUUCCGUCGGCGUUGUUUUAAAAUGGGAAGCCUCGACCCUGUAUUGAAACUGAGCUGUUCGAAGGCGGCGUUGUGUGCAAUUCGGAUUAAUGAAGGGGAAGGGUUUUGUGUGGAAAAACGCCUUGGAGUGUGACAUUUCUGCGAGAAUGCUUAAAUACCGAUUUCCCGCAGGAACAAUGGCGCUGUCUUCAGUGGCACAGUGGAGCAGCUCUGAAGAUGCAAAGAUACACGAAAAAACUUCCAGAACAUCUGGGAGAAUAUUUAAUGGAAAAUCGCUUGGUUAAAACCUGACACUUUUAACAGGUAUGUGUUGUUUUAGUACUUUAUGAUUGAGCAUAGCAUUUAAUCCACACCUAGACUAAAUCAAAUUUUUUUUGUCAGUGAACAGCGUUCUGAGUGUGGACGAGUAGCCAGUGAAGAUAAUGAAUGUCGAAUGUGACUGACUAGCAGCUUCAUUUUGAAUGAGGGUCGCUGUCUGCCCAUUGAUAGAGGCCAGAUUGUCUUGGAAGUUCCAAAGUUGCAACGAUUUCUGGCUAGUGCCACGAGGUUUACUUGACUGUUGUGUGAAAAGCUGAUAAGAAAACCAUCCAGAAAAAAGCUCUUCGUUUUACAAACAUGAAAAUAAAACAUGUAAUUUUGGAUUAUGUUCCUUUUUGUUAUUACUUUUAAAUAGGUCCUGAAAUAACAUGGGGAGCAUUAAAUGGAAAAUCCACUAA